UGUCAUGAUCCAUUGCAUAGCAUUUGCAUUGUUCCUCAGUUGCCUUAAGUGCAAGCAGUCAAGAAUUAGGUCAAACUAAUCUCCUGAUCAGUCAGCCAAGCAAGCAAAGGAAUUUCUCAUUGAACCAAGGCCUUGGGGUUUGUCCAACAAGUUCACAUGGUUUGGAGGUCUAUUUGAAGUGUUCAUGUCAAGGGUUAAGGGCUCAGAGGUCAGUAGUUCAUGCCCAGACAGUC
rnacentral:lncRNA from 1 species